rnacentral:rRNA from 1 species
UACACCUGCGGGAGGCAGCAGUGGGGAAUUUUGGACAAUGGGCGAAAGCCUGAUCCAGCAAUGCCGCGUGCAGGAUGAAGGCCUUCGGGUUGUAAACUGCUUUUGUACGGAACGAAAAAGCUCCUUCUAAUACAGGGGGCCCAUGACGGUACCGUAAGAAUAAGCACCGGCUAACUACGUGCCAGCAGCCGCGGUAAUACGUAGGGUGCGAGCGUUAAUCGGAAUUACUGGGCGUAAAGCGUGCGCAGGCGGUUAUGUAAGACAGAUGUGAAAUCCCCGGGCUCAACCUGGGAACUGCAUUUGUGACUGCAUGGCUAGAGUACGGUAGAGGGGGAUGGAAUUCCGCGUGUAGCAGUGAAAUGCGUAGAUAUGCGGAGGAACACCGAUGGCGAAGGCAAUCCCCUGGACCUGUACUGACGCUCAUGCACGAAAGCGUGGGGAGCAAACAGGAUUAGAUACCCCUGUAGUCCC